UGCCUAUGAUGAGAACACAUGGUAUUUGCGCAACGUAUGACAGUAUGUGAUUACAUUUACCUACUGCCUUCCUUCUGAGGCU